UCGAUGAAAUGCUUGAAAGAAAAAUGAUGUGCAAUUUGGAACAUGAUAGCAUAAAUUGUGAGGACUAAACGAAAGAAUAAAUGUGUUGAUAUAGGCGUGAAGGAAGAAGGUUCAAAUUCCAAGAAAACGGAAGGAUCACAAGACCGAGGUAAAUCCUCGGCUUAGGCGAUUGGACGGCUUGGAACGUGCACACUUGAUUCAUGCCCGCCUUACGCUUCCGUCACAAGUUGUUUUGAUAAGGGUUAAACUUUUGGUCGUAUGUAUUUAAUCUUAUGUAGUAUGUUGAUGUCCGUGUCGUUGGGUCAAACCUAGUAGUUGUAGUCUUGUUACAUAUAAUGUUAAUUUUCGUCCGUCUUUGGAUUUUGUCAAAAAUGUUUGUUGUUGAAGUUUGUUUGUGUAAAACAGGAAAUAGUGGUUUAAAACGAA